CUGGAUAACUGUCGUUUGAUCCCCAGAUCUUUUAGGAUUAAGAAAGUCGGCGUAAUGCCAAAUAAGUCGUUGUUCGAAUACCAUCCAGAUGUCAAACAUUGUUGGCUAGUUGUGGAUUGAAUGUCAAACUAAGUUGGUCAAAUUUUGACUUGGUCAUACUCUGCAAUUUUAGUCGGCUCAAUUCAUAAUGUCAUGUACUUAAUCGGGAGGAAGACGAGGAUAAAAGAUGGUCAUUGCACACUUAGUCAGAUGGGA
rnacentral:lncRNA from 1 species